ensembl:snRNA U6 U6 spliceosomal RNA
GUAUUCACUUUGACUACAUAUAUGCUUAGAAUGAUACACAGAAGAUUAGCAUAGCCCCUGUGCAAGGAUGGCAUGGAAAUUUUUGAUACAUUUCAUACUUAU